AUGGCGGGUGUGGGCGCCGGGACGGGCGCGUUGGGCCCAGUCAUCCUCAAGCUCGCCAUCUUGCUCGGCGAUGAGUACACCAUGCUCAAUAGGGUGCGCAAGGACAUCGCGUUCCUUGAGCGUGAGCUCCGGAGGAUGCAGAUCCUGGUAAAUGUGCUGGCCGACAUGGAAGGGCUCGACAAGGUUGCCAUGGACUGGAAAGGCAGCAUGCGCGACCUCAGCUACGACAUGGAAGAGUGCAUCGACCGUUUCAUGCUCCGCCUCGACAACGACGAAGCCAAGCCCAGCUUCGCCAAGAGGACUGCGCGCCACCUCAAGACGUUGUUCACACGACAUGGUAUCGGGACACAGAUUAAGGAGCUCAAGGCCCGCGUCACAGAGGAGAGCGAACGCCGGCAGCGACUGAAUCUCGACAACUACGUCCCAACGACGAACGAGGCAAUAGAUCCCCGGCUAGCCGCGUUCCAUGGGGUGGCCAAGGGCUUGGUGGCCAUGGACGGCCGUAGGGAUCAUGUUGUCUCUUUGUUGAUGGAGGAGAGCGUGGAGCUAAAGGUGGUGGCCAUUGUUGGAGGUGGAGGGCUUGGAAAGACCACACUUGCCAUGGAGGCCUAUCGCGAGAUUGGAGGAGAGUUCCAGUGCCAAGCUCAUGUGACGGUGUCACGCACCCUUAAUCUCAAGAAGCUCUUAAAAGAUGUCCUGUCUCAAAUAGAUGCAGAUGCAUAUAGUAAAUGUCAGUCGGAGAGGUGGGAGAAGGACCAACUAAUUCGUCGAAUCCAGCAGAUCUUGACAGAAAAGAGGUACUUACUUGUUAUUGAUGAUAUAUGGAAAGAACAAGACUGGAAAAUUAUCGCAGCAGUUUUUCCUAACAAUUAUGAUGGUAGCAGAAUAAUUGCUACUACACGCAUUGCCAAUGUAGCCAAGUCAUGUUAUUCUAACUCUCGUGGUCAGCUCUACCAAAUGCAACCUCUGAAUGACGUUGAUUCUCGAAGAUUGUUCUUUAAGAGAAUUUUCAACUAUGACAACUCCUGCCAUCCUCAACUAGAAGAGGUUUCAUCUAGGAUCCUAAAAAAAUGUGGUGGUCUGCCAUUGGCUAUAAUUACCAUUGCGAGUUUGCUAGCUAAUAAACCUCAAAACCCAAAUGAAUGGGAGAGACUCCAAGAUUCCAUUGGUACUGGUCUUUCAUAUGAGAGUGAUGAUGAAGGAAAAGGUAUGACACAUAUAUUGUUACUUAGUUAUUGGGAUCUUCCACACCACUUGAAGACUUGUUUGUUGUACUUAUGUAUAUAUCCAGAGGACUGGUAUAUCCGGUGUGAAGAACUGAAAUUGAAAUGGAUAUCUGAAGGAUUCAUUGCUACAAUACGGGGAAAUUUAUAUCAAGAAGCAGAGAGCUAUUUUAACGAACUUGUCAAUAGAAGCAUGAUCCAACUAGUAUAUGAUGAUCUUCACGGUUAUGGUUUUCAGCAAUAUUGUCAGGUUCAUGAUAUGGUGCUUGACCUUAUAAUAUCUCUGUCAGAUGAAGAGAACUUUGCCACUGUUUUAAAUGGUGUUUGCAGUUCUUUGCCAAGCAAGAUCCAUCGAAUCUCCCUCCAAUCUAGUAGGAAUGAACAACAAGGGGCACUCCAAGCCAUCACACGAAGCAAGCGACAUGUUCGCUCACUAAAUGUGUUUGAAGAAACAAAGCAUAUGCCCCCACUUGAGGACUUUCAGUCUUUACGGGUGCUUGAUAUAUGUGGGGACUAUUGGUUGUGGGAAAACAAGCAUAUAAGAAAUAUUGGAAGUUUCUAUCAACUGAGGUAUUUGAGAAUUAAGUCUGGAGGAAUCACAAAGCUUCCUGAAGAUAUCGGAAAGCUACAGAACUUAGAGACUCUCGAUUUGCGGGACUCUCGAAUUAUAGAACUGCCAUCAACUACAGCCCGACUACAGAAUUUGGUGCACUUAUUUGUUUGCAAUGACUGUGUGUUGUCUGCAGAUAUGUUUGGGAGCAUGCGAGCCCUAGAGGAAGUGUCAGAUAUUUGUAAAGUUGACAACCCUGAGAAAAUUUUGGAAGAGCUUGGACAUCUAACAAAAUUGAGAAAGAUUACGAUGACUGGAUUAUGGACUGAAUUCCAUCAAGAAAAGCUGAGGUCAUCUCUGAAGGGGUUGGGCAAUGGAAGCCUUCAAUAUAUUUAUACUUUUGGAGAAAUAGGAGAAUAUAUGUUCAGGGAUCCAUGCUGCACCUUUCCGCACCUUCAAAAUCUUAAACUAGAGGGGCGCAUGAAAAGUGUUCCCAAGGGAAUGACCUACCUAACCAACAUCCUCCAAUUAGACAUAGCAGUCAGACUAUUUGAUGAGGAAGGUCUCCAUAUUCUUAUGGGUAUGCCUUCUCUGCUCAAUCUCCAGCUAGAAGUCUGGGAUCAGUCGGCUGGCGUCUUGACUGUAGGUAGUAACGGAUUCAAGCUGCUAGAGCUGUUCCACUACACAAUUAGGGCACCCAAAACAAUGGGUAUAAAGUUUGCAGCAGAUGCUAUGCCAGCACUCCGAUGGCUCUAUCUUUGCUGGAGAGCCUAUCCUGUCGCGUUCUGGAAUAGUGACGUUGCUGACAUGGGUUUCGAGCAUCUUUCAAGCCUCGCUGACCUCCGGGUCGAAAUUGAUUGUUAUCAUGCAACUCUGGACGAGGUGGAGAUUGUGGAAGGUUUCGUUGAAAAAGCAAUCGCUUUGCAUCCCAACCAUCACAAUCUUCAGCUCCGUCUCCGUAGAGUAUGUGAAGAUUUGAUUAUAACUAAUGAGGAGAGGGAAAAGAAGGAGGAGGAGGAAAGGCGUAGGAGAGAAGGUGACGGGUUGUAA
rnacentral:rRNA from 1 species